AGUUAUAAACCUAAUGAAUAUAGGCCUAUAAUUUGAAAUUAUAGAGAAAGGGUUUAAAUCCCUUAUUAACUU
rnacentral:tRNA from 1 species